rnacentral:rRNA from 1 species
UACAGAGGUCUCAAGCGUUGUUCGGAUUCAUUGGGCGUAAAGGGUGCGUAGGCGGCGCGGUAAGUCGGGUGUGAAAUCUCGGAGCUUAACUCGAAACUGCAUUCGAUACUGCCGUGCUUGAGGACUGGAGAGGAGACUGGAAUUUACGGUGUAGCGGUGAAAUGCGUAGAUAUCGUAAGGAAGACCAGUGGCGAAGGCGGGUCUCUGGACAGUUCCUGACGCUGAGGCACGAAGGUCCAGGGGAGCAAACGGG